AUUCCCAGGGCCAGAUGGGGAAACACGGGAGGGGAGGAGCUGGCCACCUGCCAAGCCCAGACCUCUGGCCGAGCCCCAGCUCCUAGAUUCCAGCCUGUGCUCAGCCUCUGACUCUACACCUGACUUUCAGCAAGUCCCUGAUCCCUCUGAGCCUCAGUUUCCCCAUCUCUUGAGUUGGCACAGAGAGUUGUGAAAAAGAACUCAGAGGCUGGGAGCUGGAGCGGGAAGGGAGUCCCCAGGGAGCACAGCUGACUGGUCUUCACACCAAAAGCAAGCACAGGAGAAAGGGAGCUAGCAUUUCCCAGUGCCUGUGGUGUGCCAGGAGCUCCUGCAUUUUCCAUUAAUUCCCAUCACCCUGCUAUGAGGUAGGCAUUUUCUCCCCAUUUUGCAGAUGAUGAAACUGAGCCCCAAACAAGCAGAGAUUAUAGAGCUGGGUUUGAAGCUAGCUCUCCUUGCUUGGGGCCUGGGAUUCUGUCCACAGCAGCCACUGGGCCAUACCUGCAAGGGUGUCAGAAGGUUUGUGCUGGCGUCAGUGUCGCCAAGGACUCUGGGAGCCACUCACAUUUUGGGCACUGCCUAAAGUUGAUUACUUUGUUAACCCUGCCCAGGCCCCAGGCAGAGGCUUUAAAUUGUUAGAACAAUGAAGAAGGGAGAGCUGGAUAAACACUGGCCAGGCUUGAGGGAGUCCUGGGACAUAGUUGGGGUAAAGGACUGAUCAGAGCAUAUGCUGAGGCUCAGGAAUUCAUAGGCAUCUUCCUCCAGCUCCCUGACACAGGGUACCUAGAAGACUAACGAUGGUGGUGCUGAGUACUAGAAAGGUUCUGUCCCGGACACAAAUCUAGACACCAAGUCUGGUCCCCCGAACAAGGCAGGGACCCAGGUUAUUGGAGCAAGGCUGUGAGUCCCUGAGGUGAGGAACUACAGGGCUUGGCCUGAAGAUGGAGCUUGGCACGGUUUGUGCAGGAGCAAGCGGGUCAACAACAGGCCAGCAUCACAGGUCCACAGGACUGGCCCAGCCCCACACCCAUGCCAGGUUUCUGCCCUGCCACCUAAGGUGAGGCUGGCUCUGCCAUGGUGCCCAUGGGUGGUGGGGCGGGGGAUGAGGAGGUCUAGUGCCCACAGAGCUGGCUCUGCCACCACUGGGCAUUUUCAGAGAUAGAGUCUUGCCCAAGGAUUACCCCAUAGAGGUUUUACCAAGGAACUUCUGGAGACAGAAGGGCUUGACCCAAAGACAUCGUGUUGACAUAAAAUUCCAAGCACUGGCAGACCACUCAUUUUCUCUCAAAACCCACUUUUCCUGAGCAACUGUUCCGAGCCAGGCCCUCUUCUGGAACACAGAAGCAAACCAAAUCUACUCCCUUAAACAAUGGGACUCACACCAGGUGCUCAGGAAUGGGACGGAGGGGAGGAAGCAGAGGAGCUCUGGGACUGUAGCCCAGCCAGAAGGAGCCCAGAAGUACCAAUCCAGUGUGGGAUCAGGGGUCAGGGAAGACUUCUUGGAGGAGGCUACCUAAGGUUGAG
rnacentral:lncRNA from 1 species